CCAUUUUGAAUGAAGUGUGUUUUACGAUGAUAAAAGUACUGAUUAUUUACAUGGAGUCUGGUGGGCGCUAACUAACUUAGACAAGAAAAACUUGGGAACAGGGUCCAGGUUGAAGUUCCUCCAUCCUUUUUUGAUUUUAACGGACCAAAACGUGUGUGUGUGUGUGUGUGUGUGUGUGUGUGUGUGUGUGUGUGUGUGUGUGUGUGUGUGUGUGUGUGUUUUGAUAGUUUAUCAGCGGUUUAGCUUUACUAAAACGUUUGGGACGAAGCUGCAGUGUAGAAGUUGUUGUCGUGUUCGUAUAUCUGUGUUUAUUUCCUAGCACUAAUGUUGAAAAAGGGAACUUGUUACAGUCUGAUAUGUGACAUAGUCCUGGUGUGUGAAGCUCUGACACA